UACGGGGGGGGCAAGCGUUGUUCGGAAUUACUGGGCGUAAAGGGCUCGUAGGCGGCCAACUAAGUCGGACGUGAAAUCCCCAGGCUCAACCUGGGAACUGCGUCUGAUACUGGAUGGCUUGAAUCCGGGAGAGGGAUGCAGAAUUCCAGGUGUAGCGGUGAAAUGCGUAGAUAUCUGGAGGAACACCGGUGGCGAAGGCGGCGUCCUGGACCAACACUGACACUGAGGAGCGAAAGCCAGGGGAGCAAACGGG
rnacentral:rRNA from 1 species